rnacentral:lncRNA from 1 species
AUAAGCCAGCUUCCACUUCUGGCUUAAAAGACAAAAUUAAUAUAUGCUGCUAGAAGUCAGAAGAGAAGGAUAAUGACUGUAAAAAAACAUGAGGGAGCUUCUGAGUGAGUUUGUAUCCAGGAAAUUGAAUGGAAAUUGUUGUGUUGAUGGAAAUUGUUUUUUCAAGGUAAAAAAGAAAUGUGUUAUUUUAAUUUUUUUUUAAUUUAUGGAGAUUAGAAAAUGUGCUUAGUGCCCCCUGGAGUGGUGUAGCAAAAAAUCUCAAAGCCAAUAAACAGGAUCCCCAGGUUUUAAUUCAAAAGCGUUCAAGGUUGCCACUGCGAAAAACAAAGUUUGUUGUUUCUUUUAAAAUGUAAACCUCCACUGCUUAGAGAAUUAAGCUGUUUUGUCUUUUGUUGCCAUUGCUUUUGGUGUUUUAGACAUGAAGUCCU